CGACUCUUCCCCUACCUGGGAAGUCGGCUCUGGUAAAUUGGCUUAAUCACUAAAACUCCUAGUCAUUAGGAUUGGGUUGCCUGCUGUUUUUUGUUCUUUUACCUGUUUUUGUCUGGUAUCUUGCGAUCCUAUUACCCUUUUUGCUUCCGCGUGUUGCCUUGUCAUCUCGAUAUACCCCUGGCAUUUCAAAGCCAAGUGAGAUUCUCCCUUGCAUUUGGUCCAGUUCGUCUGGAUUCUCCUUUAAAGGAGUCUCCUCGUGCGAGUACCUUGGAAAUCAAGGGAGAAAGGGGGCUAUCUAGAUAGGCUGUAUGUGAUUUGGUUCCUUACUGUUUCCGCUGUUGUUUUGCUCUCUCUGGUGUUUCUGCUUUGUUCUGUAAAAUCUCUCUUGGAUUGAGAGUUUUACCCUUUUCUGGACUCAGAUAGUCCUCUUGGAACUCCUUGGAGGGACCAGUGUGAAACCUUGCUCCACAGAUCAAUCUGUGCUGAGAUCUGGGCUCUUCCCUGCUCCUGAACUCCAG
rnacentral:lncRNA from 1 species